AAUAGCCCUAAUGGGAACGCACGUUCCAGGAUUAUUUCAGUUCAAUGUCUCGCUUAUGCGAGCUGCACACGAUGCUAUUUUCUCGUGAUAGAAAGCAUGCGUGAUGCACUUUCAUAAAGCGCACGUACGCUUUCUACGACGAAAAAUAACUUUGUGUGCAGCAGGCUUUGCAAUCCACGGAGGAGCUGCCACGGAGCUUGCUUGGGUUGGCUUGAGUCAAAGAAUGCAUACACACGUAGAGUGGAUUUCGUGAAAUUUUUGGGGAGAUCGAGUUUCUGUUCGUUGGCCAUCAGGAGCGCUCAGAGCACUUCGUAUCCUGCUAUAUUAUAUACUACUACAUAGCGGUGCUCAAACAUGAGCAAGUACCGCUCCAAGCGACGUUUUUCGUGUUCUUCGCCUUGAUGUUUCUUCAACGACCAGGACACUUUAGUAAACCAAUGAGAUUCUCAAUCUUUAUCAUCAAUUCCAUAACACGAAACAUGACCCGAUUAAUCGAAAUGCAGUCACUGCGCCGCACUGAAAAUUUCGUUAAAGCGUCGUUCGUGACAAGUCCAAAGGUGAGGAUGUUUCCAUUUUUAAGAAUUUUCAACCUGUGCUUGGUUGAACCCCGGCCAUUUGCCUCACAUAUGAUCACGCGACUGACAGUGUCAAAAUCAGCUGUAAAAAUCCGCGCAUCAACAUGCUCCCAUUGAUAAAUUAUGAGAUUUUGAAAAAUUCGAAAAGCGAAAAUUCGUUGAAAAACAAACCAUAAUUUAGGAAGGUAAACUUGUAUUUUACCGAAAUAAAAUGAUUUAUACACACAUUCUUUAA